AUUGGACUGAUUUUGUUUUUGAUCCGUGAAAUAAUUAUUUGGCCCAAAAACUCUGUCCAAGAGAAACCCUAAAAUGAGGCUGGGUCGAUGAUUUUCUUCCACAUCUCCACUUUUGAACGGAUCCUCUAUCUCCUAGAUCUGCCGUUUCCUCUUCUUCAAUAGAUCGUCGAUCUCCUAUCUAUUCCCGAGCAGAAAAGGUUUCUACACGCAGACAACAAAGAAAGGUAUCUCCAGGUCAAAGCCUUCUUCCCGGAAAGCCCCUCCCAAACACGCAGCCAUCCAAGUUUCUGAUGCUACACAGCAGGAGAUGUUGAUUUCGCACGCCUCAAAGUUGUCACUAGCCAAGCUUUUGCCUCAGCAGGUCGUUGCCGUCUUGCUUACGUGCUGACCAACGUCGCCGGCGAAGCUAUCCAUGGUAAAGGGGCGAGAAGAAAGCAUAUAUGACAUACCACCAUUCUCUCUACUAUAGGAGAAGCACACGCAUGAGCCUGGCAAGUGGCAACUCCACCAGUAGCAGUAAUGGUGCAUGCAUGGUUUGCUUUCAUGCUUAUUGCUCUUAUAUGGGAAUUUGACUUCUCAGCGUUCAUGGUUCUGAUUAUUGCCAUCCUUAAUGACGGUACCAUCAUGACAAUCUCAAAGGAUAGAGUCAAGCCAUCUCCCACACCUGAUAGCUGGAAGCUCAAAGAAAUUUUCGCCACCGGAAUUGUGCUUGGAGGUUACCAAGCCGUUAUGAGUGUUGUUUUCUUCUGGUCGAUUCACAAGACCGACUUUUUCUCCGACAAGUUUGGUGUGAGGUCAAUCAUGGACAACAAUGAUGAGCUAAUGGGUGCUGUGUACCUUCAAGUUAGUAUCAUCAGUCAAGUGCCAUCUUCGUCACGAGGUCAAGGAGCUGGUCGUUCGUUGAACGUCCUGGGGCGUUUCUGAUGAUUGCUUUCGUCAUUGCACAACUUGUUACGACUUUGAUUGCAGUGUACGCUGACUCUGGACGUUUGCUAAGGUAAAGGGUAUCGGUUGGGGAUGGGCUGGUGUGAUUUGGGUUUACAGCAUUGUUACAUACUUCCCACAAGACCUUUUGAAGUUUGCCAUUCGCUACAUCUUGAGUGGAAAGGCUUGGACCAGCUUCUUCGACAACAGGGUACAUAGAACUAACUCUCUCUGGUAGCAAGGCUUAGGGAGCUUCACACACUGAAGGGACAUGUUGAAUCAGUCGCAAAGCUGAAGGGCUUGGACAUUGACACAGCUGGGCAUCACUACAUGUGUAGUUGCAGUUGCACGUACACAUUUUACCAAAACCAACCCAUCAUGACACUGGUGGAGUUUCUCUGCUUAUAUGUUUUUUUUUCUUCUUUUUUAUAAAUAUGUGUUUCAUUAUGUAUAGAUUCAAAUGUUGUUGGUCAGAUUUUUUUUCAAUUCAGAGGAAAGAUUUGAUAUGUUUUUCUUUCUGAGGAUUUUGCAGAUCAGACAAGGGAUGUACACUAGCGUGUUCGGUGCACGAGAGCCUGAAACAGGAAGAAUACUGGCUUUCAAGAAGGCUAGGUUUGACAAUUUUGAGGCAGAUAGUGUUAGGUCCAUCACAAGACAGAUUGUGAUACUUAGGAAACUUAAUCAAGUUUUUCUCUUUAAUCAAAAGCUAAUGGUAGGACUUAGCAUUUGGGGAAUUCGAGCAUAUAUAAAGGUAUAGGUUUUAAGAAAGAAUGGGAAAGUUAAAUGUUUUAUGAGUCAUAGUAUUCUAGCAUGACUAAGGUACGUUCUCAUAUGUAUUCACACCAAUCUUUGGCUUUUUUUUUCUUAAUUAGAAACCGACGGAAUUAAAUUUUUGGUCAGGGGUUAGAAGAGAUUCAUGCAAGAUGUAGAUGCUUGUGUGCGUAAGCUAAAAGUAGAAGCACUAGCACGUGCCAGGAAAGAGUUUGUGCAUACAAGUAACGGGUUUGUUCUUUGCAGAAAGUCUAAUAAAGUGGAGAAAGAUCAUGAAAAGAGCUACAUUUGGUGGCUGGUGGUCAAAAGGGUUUUGUAAAUUUGGUAUCAUUUUGGUUGGGGAAAAGAAACAUGAGGCAAUGUAAGUUUAUAUUAUGUUAUGAACUCCAAAGUUACACCCGGCAACUUCAAAAGCACAAGAGAAGUGAAUAAGUGAUGUACUACUAUGAAAACCUUCUGUAAUUUUAACUCAAUAAUAACAAUGAAGGUAAAUAAUAAUUCUUUUUUGGUUA